AGGGACCUCUAACAUGCACACUGUGAACUCUUCCGCCAUCUGCCCUUCUUCUUCCCUUUUCGUUUUACAGAAGACAGGAGGAGAUGCUCCUUCCAGUACAUGAAACUCAAGAUGUGAGUGAACCACACAGCCAGGCCUGUCCAUCUACAUCCAGUUUAAGUCCAUAGAAAAAAAGAUUUCUCCUAGUCAUAGAGACCAUGGCAGAGAUAGAAAGAAUGGACGGGUUUUCCAACUGUCACGCGAGGAGCAAAGUGUGGAUGGGAAAGCUGUUCCAGGCAUCUGGAAAUCCUGCAAAGAAAUCUUAAAGAAAGAAGUUCAAAUGGAUAUUAUAUGCUUCUUAUACCAGCACUAAGAUGUGUAUCACCUUGUUUCCACUUGUUUAAAAGCAUCCUCCGUAUUGGAGAAAAUAUACGCUCACCUAGCGUGGUGGUCUGGUAGAGGAGUCUUGUGUGAGUGUGUAGAGCCAUCUGGAAUUCUCUUCUUGAACUUCUCAAAAGGACUGUGAACUUAACCCUGUUCUAAGAAAUAUCUAUUAUAUAUCAUGGAAAUCAGAUAUCUUCAAUUUAAAUGAACAAACUCUCUGCCAACACAUAUCUGUGAGUAUGAUGACCCUUGUGUGUGGUGUUAUUUACAUGUCUUGCUUCAUAGAAAAUGGUCUCACUAACUCAGGUAUCAGGUACAUAGGCAUAUCAUCAGAUCAAUAAUAAUGUUGCUCAUGUCUCCCACUCUACAACUGUCUGUGGCUUCUUAAGUUAUGACAAAGCACGUAAUGACUGAUAGAUUCUUAUCAUAGAUUUCUAGAUAUUUGUGUGAUACUAAAUUCUUUCUUUGAAAACACUAUUAAAUCCUUGUAUUAAAUGCUACUCAGUACAUAAAUUAGCUUAGAUAAAUUAUUAAUUGUCAGUCCUAGGACUGAGCUCUCUGUAUACAGAUGCUCAGUGUUUACCAUGGGCCAGGUUUCAGAACUAUUACAUAUUCGUCAUUGAAUUAAAAUACCUGGAUGUUCACUAAUAAUGGUUACUACCUUAUGUAAUAAAUAUCUCAACACACAAGAAUAAUUCUCACUAUCAAAUAUGUAAAAUGAUGGUUGUUGCAAGCUCAUAUGAAUGUAUAAAAACAAAAUGCAGGGUUGAUGUGUGAGGUACCCAUGUACUUCUUUGUAGGGAGGAUGUUGGCUCACUGUGCUCUCUAUCCAUCCUCAGAUACGUUCAAGUCCCCAUUUUCCCAUUUAUCAAGCAUGAGCUCUCAGAAGCAUAACCCAGAUAGUCACCACACUUUAUUUCUUUAAAUAAUACUUUAUAUACAGCAGUUAUUGCUAUAAAAUAAUAAUACUAUUCCAGGGUGAUUUGAUAGUUUUCAAAGGAAGAGAAAACUUUUUGCUUACAAAACCCGUCCCAUCUGAACAAAUUUUUAAAUAAUUUUUCUAAAUGAGUCAGUACAACAAAUGUAUUCAGUGACUCCUCUUGUCUGAUUCCUAUACCAUUAAU